UGGGGAAUUUUGGACAAUGGGCGAAAGCCUGAUCCAGCAAUGCCGCGUGUGUGAAGAAGGCCUUCGGGUUGUAAAGCACUUUUGUCCGGAAAGAAAUCCUUGGCUCUAAUACAGUCGGGGGAUGACGGUACCGGAAGAAUAAGCACCGGCUAACUACGUGCCAGCAGCCGCGGUAAUACGUAGGGUGCAAGCGUUAAUCGGAAUUACUGGGCGUAAAGCGUGCGCAGGCGGUUUGCUAAGACCGAUGCGAAAUCCCCGGGCUCAACCUGGGAACUGCAUUGGUGACUGGCAGGCUAGAGUAUGGCAGAGGGGGGUAGAAUUCCACGUGUAGCAGUGAAAUGCGUAGAGAUGUGGAGGAAUACCGAUGGCGAAGGCAGCCCCCUGGGCCAAUACUGACGCUCAUGCACGAAAGCGUGGGGAGCAAACAGGAUUAGAUACCCUGGUAGUCCACGCCCUAAACGAUGUCAACUAGUUGUUGGGGAUUCAUUUCCUUAGUAACGUAGCUAACGCGUGAAGUUGACCGCCUGGGGAGUACGGUCGCAAGA
rnacentral:rRNA from 1 species